AGAGAGCAAGUGCGCAUGUCGAUUCGUUCAAUAGGAUGAACGUGCGCCUAUCACACAGCCUAUCCGUAGGAAUAUUUGGCCGUAUUAUGCGGCCGUUUUGUUGGAAAGAAGAUGAGCCUGAGUGCGUUCUUCUAGUAUAUCGUUCACUACAUCAAUUAUUUCUUAUGAGACCGUAAUACCGAGAUGAUUGCCUCCUUGGGGAAUGCCGUCGUUCCUGCGUCGGGAAAGUGUCACAUCAUAAUCUCCUUCGAGACUUGCGUUGUCGCUGACGGGUUUCCUUUCCAAGUGGAAAUUGCCUUCUCCAGUGGAUGUUGUUCCCCUUCAAAAAGUUGUAUCGCCAAGUUAGGGGAUAGAAGAUUACCAAUUAAAGCGGCAUCUCUAAAAACGGAACCCUGGACAAGGAAGGAGAAAAUAACGAGUUGAAAGAAUUUCUCUCGGUUUAUUUCGCGUCAUAAUUCUUUUAAUUAACCCAAUUCUUUUUAGAUGACCGCCUUCUUCAUUUGGGGGGGGUGAACGUUGUAAAGAAUCGCGGAGAAUCGAUUCCUAGACGUGCACACACGCCCACCCACAUGGGCUUCGUUGUAGGGACUUAUCUAUAAGGACGAGAUCAAAUUGAAUUUUGUCGUGAGUUAACAACGCAGCUAUUAUGUCGACUUGUUAUUCAGCCUUUCAAGAAUCGGCCAGAAAAUUGGUCUCUUCGGGAUAGGAAAAAGAUUAUGUUUAAGUAAAUACCAUACCUGUCUGAAGGGGCUACAUGUUGUAGAAUUGAUAAGCUAAACAAGGAUGGGCCCUAUCCGCCGAUGGCACAGCUGUCGUGCUCACAUAUUGAACAUUCCCCAUUUAAAAGCCAAUUUUUCGCGUCAGUUUCUCUUUUCUUGGCUACUGCAAUCCAUCAUCGUAAUUUCAGGCGUAUUUUUCGCCAUGUGCGAUGAGUCAUCAGACAUCGCCCACUUUUACCCGACACAAAGCGAAAAGGAUGCGAAAUAUAAAAUUCGGGAAUUUCAAAACGAACCAUCUGCGAUAUGUUAGUUGUCAGGUAGGCGUGUCGAAUUUACAUCAGUCUCUACAAUGCGGUAUAUGGCAAUUUUUGCAGCACACCCAGCAAGCAAAACGUUUUGAAAUCUUCGCCGAUCGAUCCAUCUUCUGUCAAACUGAUGAAUGCCAAGCGCCUCUAUCCGCCUGCUUUAUCAACUCGCCGCUAUUUCUUGUUUGCCGUGAGUGUGUUUUUUUUUACAAACACAAACAGCCACACAAUGUCGCUUAGUUGUAAGAAGAACCCCAUUUUCUUCUUCUUCUUCUUUGCUUUGUUGCACCUCUACAGUGUACGAUGGGCUUGGCAAACGAAAACAAAGUUUCAACUUGUAGCUGUUUGGAGUUUUGGCAAAUAUUAUCAACAUGACAGGGAAAGUUACACGAACAUUUUAUUGAUUUUAUUUUUCUCUCUCUUUUCUUUCCUGUUGAUUUGCAUAGCUUAACUUUUAAAUUUUCAAAUGAAUGAAAUUAUGAAAGGGAAAUCAGUGAUUAACUUGGAGUAUUUGUCUUUCUCCAUCAGGAUUAAGUCUUUUGAAGAAUCCAUAAUAUCCCAAGAUGUGGUGAGAGUUAGAGCCCCGAAAGUUGAAUGAAUCAUGUCAGAUUGACAGCGAACAAGACUUCAAAACCAUAGCUUCGAAAUAGCCAAGACACUUUAAUGGGACGAGCGGAGAAAGUGGGUCGACUAUAGACGGGUGUCACUAUAGACUGCACAGCUCUCAACAAGGCAUGCCCGCAUGCCUUCUCACGAAGGCAACCGAAAGAAGAAUGAUGAAAGACGUUGACGUGUGCCCUCUAGCUUGCCAUUGACGGGACGCCUACAACUUAUGGCAAAGCACACAAAGCUCGGCCCCGUGCAAAAAGUUAUGAAGCUCCGAACUUUACCAAUUUUGACAUUUUUAGGGCGGCAGAUGGAGCUCAAAUUUUAACAGGUAAUUCAACUACUGUACCCCUUAUUUUUAAUUAAUCUAUGCUUGCCCAUGAGUGCACCUCUGCCAUUAGUACAUGGAGGAUGAAAAAGUUUGGCUACAGAUGCUUUUCCAACUCGUUUAGUUUUUCACUCCCAAAUCACACCAUUCCGGCUCUGAGGCGGAUCCUUCGUAUUGCUUACUGAUGAGUGAAACAUCAUCGAUCCUUGCAGCAGACGACCUCUUAUUAUGCUAUAGCGGUACACCAUAAAAAACAGUGUGGCUUUGUCGAAAUCAGAUUUAUAAAUUCUGACACUCGAAUUCUCCAAAGUCAGAAAUGUCACAAGAGGAAUUCGUACGUAACUUCAUGACGUCCGUCCCCAGUUUCACUGUUUUCCUUUCUUAAAGAAGUCUGCUGUCGUCGUCAAUUUUGAUUUGAUUCCACCAGGCUGGUGAAGACCACAUGUAAAAGCUGUUCAGUUUAAUCUGCUACCUUCUAUAUGACUUGGGAUUUUUGGCGGAGCCACAAUUAACCUGUUGUACAUGAGAGGCGGAAACUCUAGAUAGCGUUGAUGUGCGUCUAUGAUGAAGAUUAUGAGUGACAAGUUACGUGUUUCUUACGUUACCCUUUUAUGUGUUUCAAAGGAUUUUUCGUCAAAAAAUUUACGGUGUGUUGUUAUCUAUUCAGUAUUGCUAUCGUUGGGUAUGCAUUGAAAAGGAAAUCCUUGAAAUAGAUUGCUUUUUGUACGUGGUGGUGUUUCGCCUUGUCAGCUAUGCCAGCUGCUGAACCAGCAGCUUGCAUUCCUGCUAUCAAUGUACCACAAGGGAUCCUGACACUUUAAGAAGGCCAUUAUUCCUUACAUGAAGAUCACCAUCCAGUUCAAUCAACAACAGAGUCUUCAUCUACUUUGUGUUGCUAACCAUCAGCCCUCAGCAUCCCAGGUAUCCAGAUUUCCAAGUUUCUCUGAUUAGCCAACCAUCAUCCAUACCCUUCAGCACUUCAUUGUGGCUUCUCUUCCUCUCUUCUUAGUCUGCUGAUUGCCAACAUUGAAUAAGGUUCAUCGUCAUAGCAUUUCCAUGGUAUUUUCAUUUGGUGGAUUAGCUAGCUGCUGUUUUUUGCACCGUUGCUUAGCCAGCUCACAUGGACAGGCUUUAACAACAUCUCCAUUUUUUUGGACUGGAAAUAUUCAUCUUCCUUCGUCGUCUUGGCCGUCUUCGCCUUCAUCUCCGUCUCGUCGUCUUGGCCGUCUUCGCCUUCAUCUCCGUCUCGUCGUCUUGGCCGUCUUCGCCUUCAUCUCCGUCUCGUCGUCUUGGCCGUCUUCGCCUUCAUCUCCGUCUUCGCCUUCAACUCCGUCUCGUCGUCUUGGACGUCUUCGCCUUUGUUUCAUCGCCGUCUUGGCCGUUUAUCUCUACGCCAUCACUUUGUCGCCGGCUUCUCCUUCGCCCUUCACGUAGGGAGUUCACCGUGGAUCGUCGUCCUGGUAUUGUCUUAUUUGGCAUUUUUAUGUUUAAGUUAACCCGUUGGCUGCCACCCCGUUUGCGUCCCAUUUUUUUUGUAGCUUGUAGGGACCGGCCGCAAUGGCCUUCGCCGCAAGGCGCCUUAGGCAAUGCACCAGUAGGGACUUCUCUUUGUCGAUGCGGUGGCGGAUUCCUGAGGGUGUGCAUUCCCUGUAACGGAUUCCGUCACCGUGUCAGCCCGGACUUGUCUUCGGACAAGUCCCACCUUGUUCGCGAUCCUUAUGACGCGAUGCGUAGCUACUGUAGUUUAAGCAACCUACGGGUUGCAUGGCCUGGCAGCCAACGGGUUAACUUAGUUAAUUGUAUGUAUGUUUAUGUAAAUAUGUGUAUGUAUAUUUAUUGUGAUGUAAAAUAGUGGUGGAAUUGU
rnacentral:lncRNA from 1 species